GAUGAACGCUAGCUACAGGCUUAACACAUGCAAGUCGAGGGACCGGCGCACGGGUGAGUAACACGUAUCCAACCUGCCCUUUACUCGGGGAUAGCCUUUCGAAAGUAAGAUUAAUACCCGAUAUAAAGGAUGGGGAUGCGUUCCAUUAGGUUGUUGGUGGGGUAACGGCUCACCAAGCCUUCUAUGGAUAGGGGUUCUGAGAGGAAGAGCCACCAAAGGUGAACUGAAACACGGACAAAACUCCUACGGGAGGAAGCAGUGAGGAAUAUUGUUCAAUGGGCGCUAGCCUGAACCAGCCAAGUAGCGUGAAGGAUGAAGGCUUAUGGGUCGUAAACUUCUUUUAUAUAAGAAUAUGUAUUAUAUGAAUAAGGAUAGGCUUACUCCGUGCCAGCCGCCGCGGUAAUUC
rnacentral:rRNA from 1 species